CUCUAUGGGGCUGGACCCCCUGAUCGGGGGCUGAGCUCUCCUUUAUGGGGUCCCAGUCCCUGCUGUGGGGUUGGACCCCCUGCCACGGUGCUGAGCCCUCGUCUGUGGGGCUGAGCCCUCAUCUGUGGGGCUGAGCUCUCAUCUGUGGGGCUGAGCCCUUCUCUGUGGGGCUGAGCCUUUCUCCAUGGGGCUGAGCCCCACUGCUGUGGGCAACGUGGGACCGGCUCCCUCUCCAUGGGGCCGAGUCCCCGCUAUGGGGCCGAGCCCUUCUCCAUGGGGCUGAGUCCCUGCUAUGGGGCCGAGUCCCUGCUAUGGGGCCGAGCCCCUCUCCAUGGGGCCGAGCUCCUCUCCAUGGGGCCGAGCCCCCGCUAUGGGGCCACAGCCCCGUCCCUGGGGGCCGCGGGUGCCCCCCGGGCUCCCCCGGCCCCCCGGCCUGACCUCCUUCUCUCCCCAGCUACCGCCCGGCGCUGCCGACGGCCCAGCUGGGCCCACUUAUGGGGCUGGAGCCCCCCGAGCGCCGCCGCUUCCUGGGGGGGCUGCCCCUCACCUUCACCGGGCCCGACCGCGGCGCCAUCGACUGCCGGCAGAGCCUGGCGGCCCUGCCCCACAUCUGAGCCACCGCGACCCACGGCAGCCUCGGCACGGCCGUGGGCACAGGGAGGGACCCGUGGGGCGCGGAUCUGCCCCACGGCUGCUGCCCCACGGCCGCUGUAUCUUCCCCACGGCUGCUGCCCCAUGGCUGUGGUUGCCCCAUGGCCGCUGCGGAGGAGGGGAUUUGGGGUGGGGGAUUGACCUGUGGGGCUCAGAUCUGCCCCACGGCUGCUGCCCCACGGCUGCUGCCCCAUAACCAACUGCUGAGUACAGGAUUUGGGGUGGGGAACCGACUUGUGGGGCCUGGAUCUGCCCCACGGCCGCUGCCCCACGGCCGCUGCCCCAUAACCUUCUCUCCCCCCUCAGCAGCCACAGGAGGGGGGAUUUGGGGUGGGGACCGACGU
rnacentral:lncRNA from 1 species